rnacentral:rRNA from 1 species
UCCCGUCAAUUCAUUGAGUUUCACUCUUGCGAGCGUACUCCCCAGGUGGAACACUUAACGCUUUCGCUUAGCCCGCUGACUGUGUAUCGCCAACAGVGAGUGUUCAUCGUUUAGGGCGUGGACUACCAGGGUAUCUAAUCCUGUUUGAUCCCCACGCUUUUCGUGCCUCAGCGUCAAUAAGACCAUAGUAAGCUGCCUUCGCAAUCGGUGUUCUGAGACAUAUCUAUGCAUUUCACCGCUACUUGUCUCAUUCCGCCUACCUCUAGUCCAUUCAAGCCCAUCAGUAUCAAGGGCACUGCGAUAGUUGAGCUACCGUCUUUCACCCCUGACUUAACAGGCCGCCUACGCACCCUUUAAACCCAAUAAAUCCGGAUAACGCUUGGAUCCUCCGUAUUACCGCGGCUGCUGGCACGGAGUUAGCCGAUCCUUAUUCCUUCGGUACAUUCAGCUAUUUACACGUAAAUAGGUUUAUUCCCGAAUAAAAGCAGUUUACAACCCAUAGGGCAGUCUUCCUGCACGCGGCAUGGCUGGUUCAGAGUUGCCUCCAUUGACCAAUAUUCCUUACUGCUGCCUCCCGUAGGAGUCUGGUCCGUGUCUCAGUACCAGUGUGGGGGGCCAUCCUCUCAGAUCCCCUAGUCAUCGUCGCCUUGGUGGGCCGUUACCCCGCCAACUAGCUAAUGACACGCAUGCCCAUCUCCAUCCCAUAAAUGUUUGAUCAUUGGAUAAUGCCAUCCUGUGAUUUUAUGCGGUAUUAAUCCGGAUUUCUCCGGGCUAUCCCCCAGAUGAAGGUAGGUUGCAUACGCGUUACGCACCCGUGCGCCGGUCUCAAAGAAGCAAGCCUCUUCUACCCCUCGACUUGCAUGUAUUAGGCCUGCCGCUAGCGUUCAUCCUGAGCCAGAAUCAAACUCU